UGACCACUCAGAGCAGGUCAGAC
rnacentral:piRNA from 1 species